AUGGUAAUCCUCGGUUUUGAUUCUCUUGAGGAAUUGCGUCCUCUAACAAUACCUGAAUUCAACUUCAAAAAAAUUGUCAAGCUACACUAUGACGAUCUGUUGAAUUACAGUACAUUUAUUGGAAGCAACGAUGCACAAUCAGAUAUAUCAAAGUUGGAGAAGAAAACUCAAAAUUCUUUCAUGCCAUGGCAACUAACGCAUGAGGAAGAAUUCCAUGGCCAGCCUUCGAUCGAUGAUGAUGUUGUGGUUACUGAUCAUGAGCAGAUGGCGGGAAUGCUCUGGAAUUCUUUUAAAUCCAAGAUGGGCCAAGCCCAGGGAGUGCAAAUGGGUUCAAUUUGGAGGAGCUUUUGCAUAAAGUGGAUGGGCUAG
rnacentral:rRNA from 1 species